AUUGAACGCUGGCGGCAGGCCUAACACAUGCAAGUCGCACGAGUGGCGGACGGGUGAGUAAUGUCUGGGAAACUGCCCGAUGGAGGGGGAUAACUCCUGGAAACGGUAGCUCAUACCGCCUACCAUCUGAUGUGCCCCGAUGGGAUUAGCUAGUAGGUGGGGUAACGGCUCACCUAGGCUACGAUCCCUAGCUGGUCUGAGAGGCUGACCAGCAACACUGGAAAUGAGACACGGUCCAGACUCCUAAGGGAGGCAGCAGUGGGGAAUAUUGCACAAUGGGCGCAAGCCUGAGGAAGCCAUGCCGCGUGUAUGAAGAAGGCCUGCGGGUUGUAAAGUACUUUCAGCGAGGAGGCGUUACGCGCAGAAGAAGCACCGGAUAACUCCGUGCCAGCAGCCGCGGUAAUUC
rnacentral:rRNA from 1 species